rnacentral:lncRNA from 1 species
AUGUGGUUACCAGCAUCAUCUGACAAUUGAUGUUGACGCCAGUGAAUGAGUUCUUUAGUUGGCCAUCAGGGGCUCGUGAUGCAGCCUGAGAGAUCUUCCUAGUUAGUCAAAGAUAUUUAAUUUUUAAAUUCAUAGAAAGUUUAUAUUCUAUUUAUUAAUACACAAUUAUUUUUACUUGCAGGGGUACUAUCGAUUCGAGACUCCUCAGGAUGAAGAGGCUGACCGUCAGACCUUUGAGGAGGUGGCCACAUGG